AUUGAACGCUGGCGGAAUGCUUUACACAUGCAAGUCGAGCGGCAGCACGGGGGCAACCCUGGUGGCGAGCGGCGAACGGGUGAGUAAUACAUCGGAACAUGCCCAGUCGUGGGGGAUAACACUUCGAAAGAAGUGCUAAUACCGCAUACGUCCUGAGGGAGAAAGCGGGGGAUCGCAAGACCUCGCGCGAUUGGAGUGGCCGAUGUCAGAUUAGCUAGUUGGUGGGGUAAAGGCCUACCAAGGCAACGAUCUGUAGCUGGUCUGAGAGGAUGAUCAGCCACACUGGGACUGAGACACGGCCCAGACUCCUACGGGAGGCAGCAGUGGGGAAUUUUGGACAAUGGGGGCAACCCUGAUCCAGCCAUUCCGCGUGAGUGAAGAAGGCCUUCGGGUUGUAAAGCUCUUUCGGCAGGAACGAAACGGCGAGCUCUAACAUAGCUUGCUAAUGACGGUACCUGAAGAAGCACCGGCUAACUACGUG
rnacentral:rRNA from 1 species